AAUGUUUUAAGUUAAGUAAACUAGUAGCCUUCAAAGCCUCCAAUAGGAUCUCUGUCCUAAACAUUA
rnacentral:tRNA from 1 species